GCCUGGGUGGCUCAGUCAGUUAAGCAUCUGAUUUCAGCUCAGGUCAUGAUCUCACAGUUUGUGGGUUCAAACCCUGCAUCAGGUU
rnacentral:tRNA from 1 species